AGAGUUUGAUCCUGGCUCAGGAUGAACGCUGGCGGCAUGCCUAAUACAUGCAAGUCGAACGAGAGGAAGGAAAGCUUGCUUUUCUGAAUCUAGUGGCGAACGGGUGAGUAACACGUAGGUAACCUGCCCAUGUGCCCGGGAUAACUUCUGGAAACGGAUGCUAAAACCGGAUAGGUAGCAGACAAGCAUUUGACUGCUAUUAAAGUGGCCUUGGCCAUGAACAUGGAUGGACCUGCGGUGCAUUAGCUGGUUGGUGAGGUAACGGCCCACCAAGGCGACGAUGCAUAGCCGGCCUGAGAGGGCGGACGGCCACAUUGGGACUGAGACACGGCCCAAACUCCUACGGGAGGCAGCAGUAGGGAAUUUUCGUCAAUGGGGGGAACCCUGAACGAGCAAUGCCGCGUGAGUGAGGAAGGUCUUCGGAUCGUAAAGCUCUGUUGUAAGAGAAAAACGGCACUCAUAGGGAAUGAUGAGUGAGUGAUGGUAUCUUACCAGAAAGUCACGGCUAACUACGUGCCAGCAGCCGCGGUAAUACGUAGGUGGCGAGCGUUAUCCGGAAUGAUUGGGCGUAAAGGGUGCGUAGGUGGCAGAUCAAGUCUGGAGUAAAAGGUAUGGGCUCAACCCGUACUGGCUCUGGAAACUGAUCAGCUAGAGAACAGAAGAGGACGGCGGAACUCCAUGUGUAGCGGUAAAAUGCGUAGAUAUAUGGAAGAACACCGGUGGCGAAGGCGGCCGUCUGGUCUGGAUUCUGACACUGAAGCACGAAAGCGUGGGGAGCAAAUAGGAUUAGAUACCCUAGUAGUCCACGCCGUAAACGAUGAGAACUAGGUGUUGGGGGAAUAACUCAGUGCCGCAGUUAACGCAGUAAGUUCUCCGCCUGGGGAGUAUGCACGCAAGUGUGAAACUCAAAGGAAUUGACGGGGGCCCGCACAAGCGGUGGAGUAUGUGGUUUAAUUCGAAGCAACGCGAAGAACCUUA
rnacentral:rRNA from 1 species